GAAAUGAUAAAUGGCUUACAACAGUGUCAAAAACAAAGUACUCAAUAAAUGCUAGUUUUUAUUGUCAUUAUUAUUGUUAAUGUUAAAAGUAGUAGAUGUAUAAGAGAAAUAACUAAAUUUAACAUCUCCUGAUGGGGACUUAGGGCUAAAUGUUUUUCUGCUGCGCAUCCUGAUCUAAUCUGACCAGGGGUAGUGGAGUAAGAGCUUUUUGGCAAAACAACUUAAGCUAAUUUACAAGUUCUUGUUCAGUGUUAAGUCGUGUCCAGCUUUUUGUGAUCCAGUGGACUGCAGCAUGCCAGCCUCCCCUAUCCUUCACUGUGUCCAGGAGUUUACUCAGAUUCGUGUCUGUUCAGUCAGUGAUGCCAGCCAACCAUCUCAUCCCCUUCUCCUCCUGCCCUCAAUCUCGCCCAGCAUCAGGGUCUUUGCCAAUGAGUAGGCUCUUUGCAUCAGGUCGUCAUAGUAUUGGAGCUUCAGCAUCAGUCCUUCCAAUGAAUAUUCAGGGUUGAUUUCCUUUAGGAUUGACUGGUUUCAUCUCCUUGCAGUCACAGGGACACUCUAAAGUCUUCUGCAGCUCCACAGUUCCAAAUCCUCAAUUCUUUGGCACUCAGCCUUCUUUUUCCAAGCCUUCAGUUUAUAAGAGGGGGUCAAUAUAAGACAGAGGAUUGGUUGUUUCCUAAAUGAUCUAGUCUGAAGAACAAAAGGAUCUGCAUUUGCCUCCCUGAGUGGAGCCAGGAGUUGUCUGUCUGUCCUGGAUUAAUGCCUUGCCCAUGAGGUGCAGCAGCAGGAGGGAGCCAGGACAGGAAAGGAAGGCAAAGAAGUAGAAAAAGAAAUAGAAGGGACUGUUUAACUGACUCAUGUCCUGAUAGGGAAAGAGAAGGAAAGUUUUGUAUGUUUUUUUGGACUUUGUAUAUGUUCACAAGAGGCUCAGAAAGAGACUUUUUUUUUUUUUUCUGGCAGUGGGCUCUGUCUGCAUGCCCUUCCUGGUGUUGCUGUGAUGGAAGGAUUACCAUGUCUUUUGACCCCAGGGCCAAUGCACUGCCUCAUCCAUCGUGAGGCCCCUGGGAGAGCCUUGCUGUAGCUCCUCAGAUGGUUCUGAUUGGCAACCACCUGUGGGUGAGCCGGGCCCAGCCCCACACACCACACCUUGCUGUGACACCUGGAGACCAUUGAGGUGUAGAACAGCCUGGAAGGAGGAGGUUCCAGCUUCACAGUGUGGAUGCCGACCGCAAUUUAGGGAACACAGGCCCUUCUCUCUCCUGGAAAGACCAGGGUCAUCUGGCCAGAACUCCACCAGUGAACUCCAGUCUCCAAAGCAAGGCUCUUGGGGUCUUAUUCACUUCAUUAAUAUUUAAUCGAAGAAUCAUACUGAGCUAUUUCCAGACUCUGAGUGGAGGGAACAUGGUACUGCCUUCCCAGUGGAAUUCUGAUUAAUGCACCAUCUCUGUGGUCCCUGAGGAUCACCAACUUCCUCAUCCCCCAACUAUACAUAUUUAUUCUGUGGAGAGGGAGGCAGAAAGUUGGAGAAAGUGGCCUUUCAGAGACGGACUCAGUGAGCAUGACCCAAUUAAUAACAGUAAGACAGAGGCAGCUGGGAAGGUGCAUGGUGUAGGCUCUUCCUGCACCCGGGCACUGGACAGACACUGGAGGACAGAUAUGUGCCGGCUGAGAUCUCAUCCAGUAGGAACUGAAGAUGAUCAUGUCCUCUCUAGUUUUCUGGAGUGUAAAAAUCAGACACUGUGUGAUUCUUCAGAUGAAAAAGAAAACUGCUCUUACGCUAACAAGGAGGUUGGAAUAUGUGUCUUGCGCCUUAGAAAGCAUGGAAAGCAAAUAGUCAUGAAGAAAUAGAAAAUUAGGAAGACAAAUCAAUCAACUCCCUUGUCUCAUUAAAAAAUAAAGUCAGUCUUCCUUUCUCUUUUUGUGACACAUUUACUGAAAGUUUAGACAAAAGUUUAUCAAGGAAUAAUGAGAGGACAUUUUCUCUUUAGUUCCAACAGAUCAAAGAAUAUACA
ensembl:lncRNA